AUGCUCGCUUUGGCAGCACAUAUACUAAAAUUGGAACAAUACAGGGAAGAUUAGCAUGGUCCCUGCUCAAGGAUGACAUGCAAAUUCGUGAAGCAUUUCAUAUUUUU
rnacentral:snRNA from 1 species